rnacentral:rRNA from 1 species
AUUGAACGCUGGCGGCAGGCCUAACACAUGCAAGUCGAACGAGUGGCGGACGGGUGAGUAUUGUCUGGGAAACUGCCCGACGGAGGGGGAUAACUACUGGAAACGGUAGCUAAUACCGCAUCCCAUCGGUUUUGCCCAGAUGGGUUUAGCUAGUAGGUGGGGUAAAGGCUCACCUAGGCGACGAUCUCUAGCUGGUCUGCGAGGAUGAUCAGCCACACGGGGACUGAGAACGGGCCCAGACUCCUACGGGAGGCAGCAGUGGGGAAUAUUGCACAAUGGGCGAAAGCCUGAUGCAGCCAUGCCGCGUGUAUGAAGAAGGCCUUAGGGUUGUAAAGUACGUUCAGCGGGGAGGCGUUACCCGCAGAAGAAGCACCGGCUAACUCCGUGCCAGCAGCCGCGGUAAUUC